rnacentral:rRNA from 1 species
GACAGAGGCCACGAACGUUGUUCGGAAUUACUGGGCAUAAAGCGCGCGUAGGCGGCUGGGUCCGUCCGAUGUGAAAGCCCCCGGCUCAACCGGGGAAGUGCAUCGGAUACAGCCCGGCUUGAGGACGGUUGGGGUGAGUGGAACUCCUGGUGGAGCGGUGAAAUGCGUAGAUAUCAGGAGGAACACCGGUGGCGAAAGCGGCUCACUGGACCGUUACUGACGCUGAGGUGCGAAAGCUAGGGGAGCAAACGGG